GGUGAAGUGAAAUUAUUUCGAAGGUUUAAAUGAUUUCUUGGGCUUCGUUCCUAUUGGUGCUUGGUAAGGGAAUUGAAGGAAUGCUGGAUGGUACAAUCCAUUUCUCAUGGCUUGCUAUGAUCCCGACACUGAUGAAUAUCAAAGUGUCUGUCGUGUAAUGUCCGGCUUCUCUGAUGCGUUCUGUAUAGAGAUGAGAAAUUGUUAAAUCUCUUGAUGUUGAAGAUGGUUAUCUCCCGUCAAAGCGUUCGGAUUCUUGGUUAAAGGUGAAGUGAAAUUAUUUCGAAGGUUUAAAUGAUUUCUUGGGCUUGAUUCCUAUUGGUGCUUGGUACGUGAAUGGAAGGAAUGUUGGAUG